UACGUAGGGUGCAAGCGUUAAUCGGAAUUACUGGGCGUAAAGCGUGCGCAGGCGGUUUCGUAAGACAGGUGUGAAAUCCCCGGGCUUAACCUGGGAACUGCAUUUGUGACUGCGAGGCUAGAGUGUGUCAGAGGGAGGUGGAAUUCCGCGUGUAGCAGUGAAAUGCGUAGAGAUGCGGAGGAACACCGAUGGCGAAGGCAGCCCCCUGGGAUGUGACUGACGCUCAUGUACGAAAGCGUGGGGAGCAAACAGG
rnacentral:rRNA from 1 species